GAGCUACUGGGUGUAUGGAGGCUGUUGUUCCAGCCAAUCAGCUCAUUCCACAGAGGGCUGAGUGUGUGUGGGUUUUGCCUUCUCCCUCAAUGAAUUUAAGGUCACUAAUUAGUAAGGAACUCUCCUCACCUGGUUGUCCAGGUCUUUAAUUGAAAGGGGAAAAACACCCCUGAUCUACAGGGUGAGCAGGCUUUUGUUCCAGCCCAACACUUAUCACGGUUUGGACUGAAAUAGGUGCUGGAGCUCCACAAUACUGUUAAUUUUCUGUCGAACGCCUGAUGAUAGGUAAUGUUAACUAGUGCUGGGUUGGACCAAAAGCCUGCACCUACCUCUAAAGAGUUGGUGACCAGUGAUGUUUCUCUGUCUGAACUUGGUAAUUACUUCUUUCCCCCAGUUUGCAUGUGUAAAAAAAUAUGUUUUCAGCCAUGUUGAUUUAAAAACCCAACAAUGAACAGUGGGGGUCGGUUGGUGUGAGAGGGAGGCAUGUAAUUCUCGUGAAUUUGUCUCCUAAAUAAAUAAACUACCUUCA